rnacentral:rRNA from 1 species
AUAAGACUAAUUGGUAGAUAGGUUGGAGGUGUAAGUAUAGUGAUAUAUUGAGCUGACCAAUACUAAUAAAUCGAGGGCUUAACUAU